ACAUCAGCUUUCAAACAUGGAGGAAGCAUAAUGUUCUAUGGCUGUUUUGCUGGUGACU
ensembl:miRNA